rfam:Camelus ferus unplaced genomic scaffold scaffold402, whole genome shotgun sequence.
GAGGGUAUAGCUCAGUGGUAGAGUGUGUACUUAGCAUGCACUAGGUCCUGGGUUCAAUCCUCAGUACCUCCA